AUUGAACGCUGGCGGCAGGCUUAACACAUGCAAGUCGAGCGAGCGGCGGACGGGUGAGUAAUGUCUGGGACACUGCCUGAUGGAGGGGGAUAACUACUGGAAACGGUAGCUAAACCCGCAUACCAUCAGAUGUGCCCAGAUGGGAUUAGCUAGUAGGUGGGGUAAUGGCUCACCUAGGCGACGAUCCCUAGCUGGUCUGAGAGGAUGACCAGCCAGCAGGGAACGGAGACACGAUCCAGACUCCAACGGGAGGCAGCAUCGGUGAAUAUUGCACAAUGGGCGCAAGCCAGAUGCAGCCAUGGCGCGUGUGUGAGGAGGGCCGUCGUGUUGUAAAGCACUGUCAGCGAGGAGGCGUUACUCGCAGGAAAAGCACCGGCUAGAUCCGGGCCAGCAGCCGCGGUAAUUC
rnacentral:rRNA from 1 species